rnacentral:tRNA from 1 species
UACAUUCUAGCUCAUUUGGUAGAGCAGUUGUUUUUUAGACAACCUGUAGCGGGUUCGAUUCCCGCGAAUGACCCA